UGGUUAAAUAGCAGAGCAGUCUUUAGUUAACCAACUUGCCAGCUUGCUGAGGCUCUCCAGGCCCAGGACACACCCAGACCGUGAAGCCAGCAGGUACUCUCCAGUUUUCCCAGAUUCCAGAGGGCUUGUCCUGCACCUUUAAUGCCUGUCAGUGAACUGGAAGGGGACAGGCAGAGUGCUGACUCCAGCCACACAGAGGGAGAGCCUGAGAGCUGGAGGGGCUUCAUGGCCGUGGGCGCAGACCCCGCCUGGGGUGGACACGUGGCUUCCCAGGCUCUCUGUGGAUGCCCCCAGGGACUCCACACACUGCAAUCAGAGCCUGACACGUUUCGAGUUGAAUUCUGGUGUAGGAGGACGGAGUUCAGAAGUACACCACCGGAUCCCUAACCGUGAGAGACUCACCGUUCCGUUUGGAAGAUAACACAUGUCUGCGUGCAUGGGACGUGAAAUAAAGAGCAACGUAAUGAUGACAGUGAUGAUGGUGGAAAUGGUGGAAAGAGCGAAGAUAAGGAUACUAUUGUGCAAUUCAUGAAGCAUGUUGAUGACCAUUAUCUAAUUUGAAAUUCACAUCUAUCAAAACUGUCCCUCCACAAUUUUCCUGAAGAAACUGAAACUGAUAACUUCUCCAAAAUCAGAUAGGAAGAAAGUAGCUGAGUUCGACUCCAGCUUCUUUCUUUUGGCCCGAAGAUAUCACAACUUUCUUCCUUCAAAUUGCAACAGAACAUUGCAAAAUGCACAUUAUCGUUCGAGAGUAACACGAGCAAUUGCCACACCAGAAGUGACUGGUAAAAGAGCUCAAAGAGCAGGCAGAUCAGGAGUCCGGUGGCUGCAGGGAUCAGAAGAGGCUUAGUGGAGAAAGAAGUAAAUGAAUUGAACCCAGAAGGUUGCAUGGCAUUUGGAUACGUGCAGGUGGAGAUGGGAGAAGGGGUGUCGUUCUUGGAGAGAGGAAAUGUGUAGGUAAGAAAGGAAGUGAGAGAGUUCAGUGUGGGUCAGGAAACAGCCAGCUGCUGCUCUGACUGGAGUGGGGGGAUGCACAGGGGAUCUGCCGGAGGAAAGGAGGGCCCGCCGGGGGUUUCUUCCAAAUGCCUGGCCCAUUUCUCUUCAUUUUGCCACGGGUUAGAGGGUCUCAACAUUUUCUCUUUGAAACCCUUGUCCCCGUUCAACCCCAAGCGCAUGUAUAAUCAAAUCAAGGAGUCAUCAAAUCAAAGGGCUGUCUAUAGUCUUAGCCCAAAGAUAGAGUCCACCACUUCCGAUUUUUUUCUUUUAAAAAUGUCAGAGUGCUUCCGAAACAGGAACAGCA